rnacentral:rRNA from 1 species
GAUGAACGCUGGCGGCGUGCCUAAUACAUGCAAGUCGAGCGAACAGACGAGGAGCUUGCUCCUCUGACGUUAGCGGCGGACGGGUGAGUAACACGUGGAUAACCUACCUAUAAGACUGGGAUAACUUCGGGAAACCGGAGCUAAUACCGGAUAAUAUAUUGAACCGCAUGGUUCAAUAGUGAAAGACGGUUUUGCUGUCACUUAUAGAUGGAUCCGCGCCGCAUUAGCUAGAUGGUAAGGUAACGGCUUACCAAGGCAACGAUGCGUAGCCGACAUGAGAGAGUGAUCGGCCACACUGGAACUGAGACACAGUACAAGCUCCUAAGGGAGGGAGCAGUAGGGAAUCUGCCGCACUGGGCGAAAGCCUGACGGAGCAACGCCGCGUGGGUUAUGAAGGUCUUCGGAACGUAAGACUCUGUUAUUAGGGAGGAACAAAUGUGUAAGUAACUAUGCACGACUUGACGGUACCUAAUCAGAAAGCUACGGCUAACUACGUG